AGUGAACGCUGGCGGUAGGCCUAACACAUGCAAGUCGAACGGCAGCACAGUAAGAGCUUGCUCUUACGGGUGGCGAGUGGCGGACGGGUGAGGAAUACAUCGGAAUCUACUUUUUCGUGGGGGAUAACGUAGGGAAACUUACGCUAAUACCGCAUACGACCUACGGGUGAAAGCAGGGGAUCUUCGGACCUUGCGCGAUUGAAUGAGCCGAUGUCGGAUUAGCUAGUUGGCGGGGUAAAGGCCCACCAAGGCGACGAUCCGUAGCUGGUCUGAGAGGAUGAUCAGCCACACUGGAACUGAGACACGGUCCAGACUCCUACGGGAGGCAGCAGUGGGGAAUAUUGGACAAUGGGCGCAAACCUGAUCCAGCCAUACCGCGUGGGUGAAGAAGGUCUUCGGGUUGUAAAGCCCUUUUGUUGGGAAAGAAAAGCAGCAGGUUAAUACCCCGCUGUUCUGACGGUACCCAAAGAAUAAGCACCGGCUAACUUCGUG
rnacentral:rRNA from 1 species